AACGCUGGCGGCGUGCCUUAUGCAUGCAAGUCGAACGAGCCCCCGGGACUUCGGUCCUGGACGGCUAGUGGCAGACGGCUGAGUAACACGUAAGUAACCAACCUUCCAGUGGGGAAUAAUCCGCCGAAAGGCGGCCUAACACCGCAUACGAUCGCUCCCUGAUGGGGAGUGAUGAAAGACUUGUCGCUGGAAGACGGGCUUGCGGCCUAUCAGGUAGUUGGCGGGGUAACGGCCCACCAAGCCGAAGACGGGUACCUGGUCUGAGAGGACGAUCAGGCAGAAGGGGACUGAGACACGGCCCCUACUCCUACGGGAGGCAGCAGCAGGGAAUCUUGCACAAUGGGCGAAAGCCUGAUGCAGCGACGCCGCGUGGGGGAUGAAGGCCCUCGGGUCGUAAACUCCUUUUCUGGGGGACGAUAAUGACGGUACCCCAGGAAUAAGCGACGGCUAACUACGUGCCAGCAGCCGCGGUAACACGUAGGUCGCAAGCGUUGUCCGGAUUUACUGGGCGUAAAGGGCGCGUAGGCGGUCUGUUAAGUCUUUGGUGAAAUCUCCCGGCUCAACUGGGAGGGGUCCGAAGAUACUGGCAGACUAGAGGG
rnacentral:rRNA from 1 species